UGUAACAGCAACUCCAUGUGGACUGUGCACAGAUCCCAGUGGAGCUGCUGUUACUUU
rnacentral:pre_miRNA from 1 species